GACGAACGCUGGCGGCGUGCUUAACACAUGCAAGUCGAACGGAAAGGCCCUGCUUGCAGGGUACUCGAGUGGCGAACGGGUGAGUAACACGUGGGUGAUCUGCCCUGCACUUCGGGAUAAGCCUGGGAAACUGGGUCUAAUACCGGAUAGGAGCCAUUUUUAGUGUGAUGGUUGGAAAGUUUUUUCGGUGUAGGAUGAGCUCGCGGCCUAUCAGCUUGUUGGUGGGGUAAUGGCCUACCAAGGCGGCGACGGGUAGCCGGCCUGGGAGGGUGGACGGCCACAUUGGGACUGAGAUACGGCCCAGACUCCUACGGGUGGCAGCAGUGGGGAAUAUUGCACAAUGGGCGCAAGCCUGAUGCAGCGACGCCGCGUGUGGGAUGACGGCCUUCGGGUUGUAAACUCCUUUCGCUAGGGACGAAGCUUUUUGUGACGGUACCUAGAUAAGAAGCACCGGCUAACUACGUG
rnacentral:rRNA from 1 species